UGUAGUUGGAGUUGCACA
rnacentral:snRNA from 1 species